CGUCUAUAUACGUAUAGCAUAUCAAUAAGCGGAGGAAAAGAAACUAACAAGGAUUCCCUUAGUAACGGCGAGUGAAGCGGGAAGAGCUCAAAUUUGAAGUCUUCAAGGUUCUACCUUGACGAAUUGUAGUUUAAAGAAGUGUUUUCCGUUAGAGGAGUAGCAAAAGUUCCUUGGAAUGGGACAUCAUAGAGGGUGAGAAUCCCGUAUUUGGUUAUUCUUUCUAGCUUUGUGAUACACUUUCAAAGAGUCGGAUUGUUUGGGAAUGCAGGUCCAAAAUGGGUGGUAAAUUUCAUCUAAAGCUAAAUAUUGGCGAGAGACCGAUAGCGAACAAGUACCGUGAGGGAAAGAUGAAAAGAACUUUGAAAAGAGAGUUAGACAGGUACGUGAAAUUGUCAAAAGGGAAGCGUUUGACACCAGUGUUGUUUUUCCGAAAAUCAAUUAAGAACGGCUUGAUUUUGUGUUGUAUUGACCUUAUCAGCUUUCUUCACUCUUUUUCGAGUCUUUCUUAAUGCACUUUUCGGUUAACAAGUCAACAUCAAUUUCUUUUGUUGUAAAAGGGUAUUUGGAAGGCUGGCUUUCUUUUCGGAGAAAGUGUUUAUAGCCUUAUACCUCUACAAUCGGAGAGAUUGAGGUCUGCAGCGUAGAUCCUUCGGGGCUAGAUACACUUGUGCUAAGUUAUAGCUUUUCAUAGACAACUUGUCGACUAUGUUUAGUCAUGUAGCUUACCCGCUUGUGCUAUUUUACCUACGCUUAGGAUGUUGAGUCAUCACACAUCUC
rnacentral:rRNA from 1 species